rnacentral:rRNA from 1 species
CCUCGGGUGGCAGCAGUAGGGAAUCUUCCACAAUUGGCGAAAGCCUGAUGGAGCAACGCCGCGUGGGUGAAGAAGGUCUUCGGAUCUUAAAACCCUGUUGUUAGAGAAGAAAGUGCGUGAGAGUAACUGUUCACGUUUCGACGGUAUCUAACCAGAAAGCCACGGCUAACUACGUGCCAGCAGCCGCGGUAAUACGUAGGUGGCAAGCGUUAUCCGGAUUUAUUGGGCGUAAAGGGAGCGCAGGAGUCCUGUUAAGUCUGAUGUGAAAGCCUUGGGCUUAACCGGAGUAGUGCAUUGGAAACUGGGAGACUUGAGUGCAGAAGAGGAGAGUGGAACUCCAUGUGUAGCGGUGAAAUGCGUAGAUAUAUGGAAGAACACCAGUGGCGAAGGCGGAUCUCUGGUCGGUAACUGACGCUGAGGUUCGAAAGCGUGGGUAGCAAACAGGAUUAGAUACCCCAGUAGUC